AAGGAAUGCCAGGAAGUGCCAGCAAUCCAGAGAGAUUCUGAGUACUCUGUAAAACCACCUCACCAUAGAUAACAUCAGGUGUUCACCCUACCAUCAGAUGCGGUGGUGGCAGCAUCUUAAGAUCCCUGUGAUGGACUUGGGUAAAGACUGCUUGACCAUGAAGCAUUCCAUCAAGAUUCCCUGGAGAGGAUUCUUAAUGUCUGUGGGUCAUUCAUUCUGUCAAGACUACUCGGCGCUGAAUGUGAUGUGACAGAAGUCCUAGAUGGAAAUCCUUGUUGAUCUUAAGAGAGGGCUAUGGCAGGGUUCCUUAUCAACUGGAUUUCAUGUAACAGCAGCAGAGAAACUGAAGAAUGGAGCCGUGUCGCAG